AUAGCUUACCUUCCUGUCUUAUGAUAUGAGACAUAAUUUUUGUUGUGACUGAAAUUCUUGACAUUUCUCAACAGUUCGUGGUACCAUACGCUGCAGCGGCGAAAAUUAAAAAAUGGUAAAUUGAGAAAGUGUUUUAGGAAUAUUCCCGAUUAUUUUUGAAAUCCUGAAGGAAAAAUAAAAUUCAUAAUGAUGAAAACAUAAAAGUGGUGAAUUUCCGGCGGUCCAGUUAGAAAUUUGAGUGCUGGGCCGCUGUAAUAUUUUAUGGAUGUUUUUUUUUAAUGUUCCUGCUCACGAGGUUCCACUUCCAACUUGCUGAUUUGUAUUCUAAUUGCAAUUUGUCAUUGGCUAACCCACCGACUACGGGCCUUAUAUCGGUCAGGGUUUUUAAUGAUAUAUUGAGCCAGAACAAGGAGUGAAAAUUACCCUAUUCUUUGGAAAGUAUAGGCUCUGAACCCGAACGCCCAAAUAUCGGGAGCUCCGCCCCCCGAUAAAUAAGCUGGGAACCUAACAGAAAUCAAAAUGUCCGUGAGUCUUAGAUCAUAAAAUUUGACAAAUAAAAUACAAGAAAUAAACAAAAGGGAACAAGUUAAAACAUCGGAAAAGUAAAAGAUUACCAAAAUGAAAAGAAGAAAAAAAUUUAAAGCUGCAAAUAGAAAACGAAAUUAUGUGUUUGUGAUUGUCCGUUAUUUAUUUAAAACAUUUUUUUUUUGUGCGUCAAAGUUUAAAUUUAUUUAUUAUUUAUUUAUUUUUUUAAUUUCCCAAAUUUAAUUAUUAUGUAAGUGAUAAAAACCAUUUUUGAAGGGGUCAACGCGAAAUUUUCGUUUUUGGGUAUCCUAGGGUGAAAUAUACCUCCAAAGAGCUCUCUAGGGGUAGGCUAUCCAGGAUCGUUUUUUUUUGUCAAAGCUAAAUUUAUUACCGAAAAGGGUAACAGUGUCUUUUUUUUGGAUAAUAACUCGACUCCGAGGAAGGGUUUUUAAUCGCCUUUGUUUUUUUUUUCUAAUAUUCUUUUUUUUUAGUUAAAUUGUCCUGUAAAUUUCGAGUGAUAAAUUUGAUUCGAUUUUUUUUUGUAGUUAAAAAGUCGUUUUGUAUUCUUUAUAUUCAAUGAUGUGAAUAAACUUAAAUGACGCCAAGGGUCGAAAAGAA